UACGGGGGGAGCAAGCGUUGUUCGGAUUUACUGGGCGUAAAGGGCGCGUAGGCGGUCAGUGCAAGUCAGUUGUGAAAUCUCCGGGCUUAACUCGGAAAGGUCAACUGAUACUGCUCGACUAGAGUGCGGAAGGGGCAACUGGAAUUCUUGGUGUAGCGGUGAAAUGCGUAGAUAUCAAGAGGAACACCGGUGGCGAAGGCGGCUCUCUGGACGGUGACUGACGCUGAGACGCGAAAGCGUGGGGAGCAAACAGG
rnacentral:rRNA from 1 species